rnacentral:rRNA from 1 species
GAUGAACGCUGGCGGCGUGCCUAAUACAUGCAAGUCGAGCGAACAGACGAGGAGCUUGCUCCUCUGACGUUAGCGGCGGACGGGUGAGUAACACGUGGAUAACCUACCUAUAAGACUGGGAUAACUUCGGGAAACCGGAGCUAAUACCGUAUAACAUGUUGAACCGCAUGGUUCAACAGUGAAAGACGGUCUUGCUGUCACUUACAGAUGGAUCCGCGCCGCAUUAGCUAGUUGGUAAGGUAACGGCUUACCAAGGCAACGAUGCGUAGCCGACCUGAGAGGGUGAUCGGCCACACUGGAACUGAGACACGGUCCAGACUCCUACGGGAGGCAGCAGUAGGGAAUCUUCCGCAAUGGGCGAAAGCCUGACGGAGCAACGCCGCGUGAGUGAAGAAGGUCUUCGGAUCGUAGAACUCUGUUAUUAGGGAAGAACAAAUGUGUAAGUAACUAUGCACGUCUUGACGGUACCUAAUCAGAAAGCCACGGCUAACUACGUG